rnacentral:lncRNA from 1 species
CUUGGGCAGGGGCUCGGACGGUCCCUUCUUCAGGUUGUUCAGCUCCUUCUUCAGUUGCAGCUUCCUCGCCACGCUUCUUGCCUUGUAGAUCUUCUCCAGGGUGUCCCAUGCUUCCUUGGCAGUCAUGCAUGCGUCCAGCGUUGUCAGGUGGUGGUCCUUGACGUUGAGGCAGAUGAGAGCCAGCGCCUUCUGGUCCACAGAAGCUUCGGCCGUCUCGUCUCCAGUCGUUGUCUUCCACAGGCCCUUGUGGAUGAGC